rnacentral:rRNA from 1 species
UCGCGGCGUGUUAAUACUGCACGUCGAGCGGACCGAAGGGAGCUUGCUCCUUUAGGUUAGCGGCGGACGGGUGAGUAACACGUGGGCAACCUGCCCUGCAGACUGGGAUAACUUCGGGAAACCGGAGCUAAUACCGGAUAACACCGAAAACCGCAUGGUUUUCGGUUGAAAGGCGGCUUUUAGCUGUCACUGCAGGAUGGGCCCGCGGCGCAUUAGCUAGUUGGUGAGGUAACGGCUCACCAAGGCGACGAUGCGUAGCCGACCUGAGAGGGUGACCGGCCACACUGGGACUGAGACACGGCCCAGACUCCUACGGGAGGCAGCAGUAGGGAAUCUUCCGCAUUGGACGAAAGUCUGACGGAGCAACGCCGCGUGAGCGAAAAAGGUCUUCGGAUCGUAAAGCUCUGUUGUCAGGGAAAACAAGUACCGUUCGAACAGGGCGGUACCUUGACGGUACCUGAC